GAAAUCCGUAUUCGAUGAAAGUCGUAUGUAUGGCUUGGAGGGAGAUCUUUCCUAUCUUUCGAGAUCCACCCUAC
rnacentral:ncRNA from 1 species